rnacentral:rRNA from 1 species
CCUACGGGCGGCAGCAGUGAGGAAUAUUGGUCAAUGGCCGAAGGGCUGAACCAGCCAAGUCGCGUGAGGGAUGCCGGUCCUAUGGAUUGUAAACCUCUUUUGUCAGGGCGCAAAGGGCGCCACGUGUGGCGUUUUGCGAGUACCUGAAGAAAACGCAUCGGCUAACUCCGUGCCAGCAGCCGUGGUAAUACGGAGGAUGCGAGCGUUAUCCGGAUUUAUUGGGUUUAAAGGGUGCGCAGGCGGAAUGUCAAGUCAGCGGUAAAAUUUCGGGGCUCAACCCCGUCGUGCCGUUGAAACUGGCGUACUUGAGUGAGCGAGAAGUAAGCGGAAUGCGUGGUGUAGCGGUGAAAUGCAUAGAUAUCGCGCAGAACUCCGAUUGCGAAGGCAGCAUACCGGCGCUCAGCUGACGCUCAUGCACGAAAGCGUGGGUAGCGAACAGGAUUAGAUACCCGAGUAGUC